AUCAACAGAAAUAAGAGAGUGAUCUUUCCUUUACUUCUUGUUUAAACUUUUGAGUGAAAAAAGAGAAUUAUAUAUAUAGAUAGAUAGAUAAAAGGAUUUGGUCUUCUUUUUAGAAUUGGGUUUUAUACAAAUGAACCUCCUAGUCACUUUCACUAUUAGUGGACAGUCAGAAUAUUGAACAAGUAUUGAAUAACACAAAUUGUCUUUU